GACGAACGCUGGCGGCGUGCUUAACACAUGCAAGUCGAACGGAAAGGCCCGGCGUUUGUGGGGUGCUCGAUUGGCGAACGGGGGAGUAACACGUGAGUAACCUGCCCUUGACUUUGGGGGAACUUCAGGAAACUGGGGCGAAUAUCGGGGAGGAUCUCCUGCUGCAUGUUGGGGGUUGGAAAGAUUCGGCGUUGGGGGAUGGACUGGAUGCUUAUCCGCUUGUUUGUGUGGUAGUGGCUUACCACGGCUUUGAAGGGUAGCCGGCCUGAGAGGGUGAACGGCCACCUUGCGCCUGCGAUAGGGCCCAGACUCCUACGGGCCGCAGUAGGCGGGAAUAUUGCACAAUGGGGCGACGCCUGAUGUAGAGACGUCGCGUGCGGGAUGCUCGCUUUCGGGUUGUAAGCCGAUUUCGCAUGUGCCGAAGACUGCGUGACGGUACCGGGUAAAAAAGCCACGGCUAACUACGUG
rnacentral:rRNA from 1 species